UUAUUUUUUUGUGAUAAUUUGAGUAAUUAGUACUAGUAUUAUUAGGUAAUAUUAGUUAUUUUUGUGAAUUUGCUGUGUUUUUUUUUUUUUUAAAUUUCAGAUUUUUAAGUUUAUCGAGCAUGAAAUGUGUUGUAAGUGUCGUGAGUGAGUCUCGUGAGUAUUUAUAUACGAAGGGUAAAUACGGAAUUUCAAGGAAAAAAUGCGAGCGACGCCUAGUAAUUUGGGAGCGACGUUUAACAACCCCCUUGUUUACCUUUCAAUAUCUCUGAAAGAUAUUCUGGCAUCAUCUUCCUCAUUUUCUUUGCAAUUAUAACAUCAAGUGAAUUGCUUUUGUUGCUAAUUUUAUUUAGUAAAUCCUUGAUAGUAAGUUGGGUUAUAAUUCUUGUUUUGUUUGAGCGUUGAUGCAAUCACAUAUGAACAGUAAAGCUUGUUUAGCAUCCAGAUUUUUAAGCUUGAUUAGUGACAUCUUGUUUGUAAGUUUGGUGCAUAUUAUACUUUUGGCUAUGUUACCUGGAUUCAUAUAUUCAUGUACGACUAGGCUAUUUAAUGAAGAAUUUCAAUGACUAUGGCUCAAAAUGAAGUGUCCAAGUGUCUAUAUCCACGUCCAAGUGUUAAAGACUUUUGGUUAUCUUGUUGGUUUCAAGGUAGUGUUGCAGAUUUUUAUUUUACUCGUGUUGGCUUGGCUUGGAUCAAAAUGUGUGAUAUUUGAUAUAUCUUGCCAAAGAACAGUAUUGAACUUGAAAGUUAUGGAUACAUCUGUUGUAGUAAAAUGGAAGCUUAGGAUGUAUACAAAGAGUUUAAUUCUGUAAUCCCUAAAAAGGGAGGAGCCUGGUUACUGUUCAUUUGAACGAUGCCAUUUCUCUUUUUCCCUCACUUUUAUAGUACUUAUGUGUUGUUGCUUGGAUGCACGUGUUCCCCUCUUUCUUGUUGUUUUCUUGGUUCUUCCUUCUCCUUCUCUCAAAUGGCGAUUGUACGACAUCUUCUUUUCAUUUCUCCUCCUCUUCUACCUUUAUUGGUGCUUGUAUGGAUCUUUGGCUUGCGGUUUUGCUUGUAGGGAGUAAACCUUCUACCUCGGCAGGUCAUGCACAGUUGACAUUGUAUUGUGGGCCAUCUAUACUUGCUUGUGUGGUUUUCAUAUGGUAUUUACGCCUCAUCUAUAUCCUCCACUUGUUGAGACCAUUUUACCCCCUUGCUCAAAGACACUUUUUAUCCACACGACUUUGGAUAAUCAUCAGGUACAUAAUAUUCCUUUUCGACACUUCAAUUCGUGUGUUUAGUUGCCAAAUUUUCAUUUUGUUCCAAUUUGGUUGAUUGAAUUAGAUUGGUUUUGAGUUGGUUGUUACAGGACUGAUCCCAUUGCAAGGUAUGGGACUUGGAUCCCAUAUUGGUCAUAUAGGGGGCUAAUGCGAGGUUAUUAUAUAGGGCUAUGGGCUCUCCAUCCUUUGAGCUAGCCAUGGUCUUGUAUCAAUAAUAUCAGAGCCAACCUCGGAGUAGUGACCCACGGAGUUGAGCCGUAACCAAUGAGGACGUCGAUCCUUGAGUAGGGGCAAAUGUUAUAGGAUUAAUCCCAUUGCAAUGUAUGGGACUUGGAUCCUGCAUCGGUCAUAUGGGGGGCUGAUGACCAGAUGUGGGGUUCAUAUAGGAUUAUGGGCUCUCCUCUUGGUAAAUCCCAAAUGCCUUGAUCAUGAACCAAUGGAGCGUGUUCCUCUUGGUAAAUCUCUUACAAUUAUAUAUAUAGGGAAUGGAUCACGUGAAAACAAACCUUAUAAUGAAAAUUGAAAACAACUAAUUCUAACCGUCGAAUAUAAUCUGACGGAUAAUAUAUCAUUUAACAUUUUUAGCUUUCGAUCGUCAUUUUAUAACUCUCACAUUUUUAUUUUCUCUCUCCUACAGUCCUACCUAUCUGCAGAACUCUCUCUUCUGAUUCUCUCUCCUAAAAAAAAUUUGGUAAUUCUAUCUCAUUUUUUCAUGCAAUUUGAUCUUGCCAUUAAAUUUGAUUUUUUCAUUCAGCUAGCAAUUUUGAUUCAGAAUCAAUUUAGUUGAAGGUAAAAGAAACAUAGUGGAGCUGGUUAUGGUCUAAGAAAAGGAUGAAAUGAGUUCCGGACUAAACAAUGAAGUAAUUGAAGGGAGGAUUCUGCCUUGGCACUGAAAUUGUGAAUGGAGGUAAUAUGAUCCUGAUAAAUGAGUGCCCUGCAUAAGCUAACUCCAAAUAUAUAAGGUAAUAGUACGUACUAAUAUUAUCUCUGUGGUCUAAUUGUUCUAUCGAUAAUCACCUAAGUUACAAGAGCUUUUGUAUAGUUUGAUGUUUUAUUCUCCUUAAUUUGGUUGAAUGUUUAAUAUGAGCCCACAUAACUUAUGUAUCAUUUGGAUGCCAAUAAUUAGACUGACAUAGAGGCUUGCUAAGUUCGGUUCCAUAGAGGCUUUUCAGUUUCUUGAAAGCCUAGAUUACCUAGAUAUAUGGGGUGACAAGAAACUUGGGAGCCUAGGAGAAGCUGGAAAUGUUUUCUAUGGUUGUUCAUCUUCCCUAAAAUCAUUGCAAAUUCUCAAUCGCUAUACUUUGCGGAAUGUUGUGCCUGGUGGAUAGGAGCAUCUCACGACCUUGGAGAAUUUAGAGACAAGGGAUUGUAAUAAUAUGAGUUUAUUGAUCUCAGUUUUUUACGCGGGCGAAGUUUUUGGCAUGUAGAAAGCCUAUUAGCUCAAUUGGUCGAGUGCUGUGUAAUCACGGGAUGUAGAUUCGAAUCCUACAUAGGUUUAAAUUUAAACAAAGUGUCUCUUUUUAAUAUGUGGUGACCUUUUUUUAAUACCACUUUACUUUUUUACAUAGUGACCUCUAUGUUGUCAAAUUAAUAUAGUUACCCUAUUUUUGUAUA